GGCGAACCACCGCCUAAUCGCUGACGCGAGCCGGGGACCCGAGCAACUGGGGUGAAGUCGUCCUCUCCGGAGGCGGCCGGGCAGACUUCCCGCCCGAACCCGUCAGCUAACCCGGUCGGCGGCUGAGUGGGAAGAA
rnacentral:sRNA from 1 species